rnacentral:lncRNA from 1 species
CCGAAACAGCAAUGCCCACGUGGAAGGCAGGGCAGUGGCCAUGGGUUUUAGCUAUUACAAGUUCUAUUUUUCUACAAAAGAUCUAUUUUUUGAUAAUACAAUGAAUAUGUGAUUUUAUUUAGUGGUGUAUACUACAUCAGUGAUACUGGAGCUUGUUUUGUCUUGUCUUUUUGGCAUAGAAAGUGAAAGCAAUAAUUAAAGCAAUAUAUAAAAGGCACUUUUUCCCAAGAGGGUGGAAGUUGAAGCUGAACUCCUCUGUGCCUCUCAGAGCCCCUGUAAGUGCUGAGCACCAAGCCUUCCACAGACUAAAUGCCUCAUGGAGAGACAGUCCCUUUCCGGAACUUGAAAACACCUGGUGGUAUUUCUGAAGGAGGAUGGAGACGGGGAUCGCCCUCGAAGGGGACUAUCGCAGAGUGAACCUUUUCUACCUUGUCUGGGCCUGCAGUUUCAGAAUGAGUUCAUUUUACCCUGAAGGAGAGACCUUAAAAUACGAAGAGGAAAUGAGUGCUCUGGUUUUGCUGGUAAAGCUUUGUGUGCAGAGAUGGACAAAGUGAGUGAAAGGCAGAUGGAGGGGCCGGUGCUGUGGCACAGUGGGUUAACGCCCUGGUUUGAAGCACUGGCAUCCCCUAUGGGCACCGGUUCGAGACCCGGCUGCUCCUCUUCCGAUCCAGCUCUCUGCCAUG